UACAGAGGUCUCAAGCGUUGUUCGGAUUCAUUGGGCGUAAAGGGCGCGUAGGCGGCGGGGUCAGUCGGGUGUGAAAUCUUGGGGGCUUAACCCCGAAACGGCACUCGAAACUGCCCGGCUGGAGGGCCGGAGAGGAGAUCGGAAUUCACGGUGUAGCAGUGAAAUGCGUAGAGAUCGUGAGGAAGACCCGUGGCGAAGGCGGAUCUCUGGACGGCUAACUGACGCUGAGGCGCGAAGGCCAGGGGAGCAAACGGG
rnacentral:rRNA from 1 species